rnacentral:rRNA from 1 species
CGUGCAGGCGGGCUUGAUACUGCAGUCGAGCGAAUGGAUUAAGAGCUUGCUCUUAUGAAGUUAGCGGCGGACGGGUGAGUAACACGUGGGUAACCUGCCCAUAAGACUGGGAUAACUCCGGGAAACCGGGGCUAAUACCGGAUAACAUUUUGAACCGCAUGGUUCGAAAUUGAAAGGCGGCUUCGGCUGUCACUUAUGGAUGGACCCGCGUCGCAUUAGCUAGUUGGUGAGGUAACGGCUCACCAUGGCAACGAUGCGUAGCCGACCUGAGAGGGUGAUCGGCCACACUGGGACUGACACACGGCCCAGACUCCUACGGGAGGCAGCAGUCGUGAAUCUUCCGCAAUGAACGAAAGCCUGAGGAACCAACGCCUCGUGAGUGAUGAAGGCUUUACGCUCGUAAAACUCUGUUGUUAGGGAAGAACAAGUGCAGUUGAUUAAGCUGGACCUUAAGGAACGUAACCAGAAAAGCGCGGCUAACUACGUCCAGCAGCGCGGUAUUCUUAGGUGGAAGCGAUAUCCGCAAUAUUCACGAAAGUGCGCGCAGUGGUUUCUUAAGUCUGAUUGAAGCGCACGCUAACCGUGAGGCAUUGAAACUGUAACUUGGUGCAGAGAGAAAGCGAAUACAUGUUACGUGAAUUCUGCGUAUCGACGAACAUCAUAGCAAGUGACUCCAGGCUUUGACGUACUGAGCUGAAAGCUUGAAGUCACUGCAUCAGUAGCUCGUCGUUAGGCCGUAACGAACGGUCAAGUUAUUGGAUUCGGCCUACAGCUAGUUAGGGUUUCAGAUCGGCUAGGAUGACGUGCAGUCGAACCGAUUGAAUAC